rnacentral:rRNA from 1 species
UACGAAGGGGGCUAGCGUUGCUCGGAAUGACUGGGCGUAAAGGGCGCGUAGGCGGAUGGCACAGUCAGAUGUGAAAUUCCCGGGCUUAACCUGGGGGCUGCAUUUGAUACGUGUGAUCUGGAGUGAGGAAGAGGGUCGUGGAAUUCCCAGUGUAGAGGUGAAAUUCGUAGAUAUUGGGAAGAACACCGGUGGCGAAGGCGGCGACCUGGUCCUUUACUGACGCUGAGGCGCGAAAGCGUGGGGAGCAAACAGG